UCGGAUGUGCCCGCAGGGUGCAUGGCAGACGGGUGAGUAACGCGUGGGGAAUCUACCUCUUUGUGGGGAAUAACGCUCCGAAAGGAGUGGUAAUACCGCAUGAGAUCCAUGGCUGGGAUGCUGUGGAUGAAACCUGGGGACCGCAAGGCCUGGGGCAAGGAGAGGAUCCUGCGUCUGAUUAGCUAGUUGGUGAGGUAAUGGCCCACCAAGGCGACGAUCAGUAGCCGGCCUGAGAGGGUGAUCGGCCACACUGGAACUGAGACACGGUCCAGACUCCUACGGGAGGCAGCAGUGGGGAAUUUUGCGCAAUGGACGAGAGUCUGACGCAGCAACGCCGCGUGGGUGAUGAAGGUCUUCGGACUGUAAAACCCUGUCGUCAGGGACGAAGGUGGCACGACUAAUAAUCGUGUUACUUGACGGUACCUGGAGAGGAAGCCCCGGCUAACUCUGUGCCAGCAGCCGCGGUAAUACAGAGGGGGCAAGCGUUAUUCGGAAUUAUUGGGCGUAAAGGGCGCGUAGGCGGUUUUUUAAGUCAGAUGUGUAAUCCCCGAGCUCAACUUGGGAACUGCAUCUGAGACUGGAAGGCUAGAGUACUGGA
rnacentral:rRNA from 1 species